rnacentral:rRNA from 1 species
CAGUAGCCGCGGGAACACGGAGGGGGCUAGCGUUGUUCGGAAUUACUGGGCGUAAAGCGCACGUAGGCGGCUUGGUAAGUUAGAGGUGAAAGCCCGGAGCUCAACUCCGGAAUUGCCUUUAAGACUGCCGAGCUAGUAGGUGAGAGAGGUAAGUGGAAUUCCGAGUGUAGAGGUGAAAUUCGUAGAUAUUCGGAAGAACACCAGUGGCGAAGGCGGCUUACUGGCUCAUUCUAGACGCUGAGGUGCGAAAGCGUGGGGAGCAAACAGGAUUAGAUACCCGCGUAGUCCCUGUCUCUUAUAC